UACGAAGGGGGCUAGCGUUGUUCGGAAUCACUGGCGUAAAGCGCACGUAGGCGGAUUUGUAAGUCAGGGUGAAAUCCCGGGCUCAACCCCGGAACUGCCUUCGAUACUGGGUAUCUUGAGUUCGGAAGAGGUGAGUGGAAUUGCGAGUGUAGAGGUGAAAUUCGUAGAUAUUCGCAGGAACACCAGUGGCGAAGGCGGCUCACUGGUCCGAUACUGACGCUGAGGUGCGAAAGCGUG
rnacentral:rRNA from 1 species